rnacentral:rRNA from 1 species
AACAAAGCAGCCGCGGUAAUACGUAGGGUGCAAGCGUUAUCCGGAAUUAUUGGGCGUAAAGAGCUCGUAGGCGGUUUGUCGCGUCUGCUGUGAAAUCCCGAGGCUCAACCUCGGGCCUGCAGUGGGUACGGGCAGACUAGAGUGCGGUAGGGGAGAUUGGAAUUCCUGGUGUAGCGGUGGAAUGCGCAGAUAUCAGGAGGAACACCGAUGGCGAAGGCAGAUCUCUGGGCCGUAACUGACGCUGAGGAGCGAAAGGGUGGGGAGCAAACAGGCUUAGAUACCCUGGUAGUCCACCCCGUAAACGUUGGGAACUAGUUGUGGGGUCCUUUCCACGGAUUCCGUGACGCAGCUAACGCAUUAAGUUCCCCGCCUGGAGAGUACGGCCGCAAGGCUAAUACUCAAGGGAAUUGACGGCGACACG